UGGCGGUUAGCUCAGUGGUAUAGAGCGCCUGCCUUACAAGCAGGAGGUCACUGGUGCGAAUCCAGUAUCGCCCACCC
rnacentral:tRNA from 1 species